GACGAACGCUGGCGGCGUGCUUAACACAUGCAAGUCGAACGGAAAGGCCCUGCUUUUGUGGGGUGCUCGAGUGGCGAACGGGUGAGUAACACGUGAGUAACCUGCCCUUGACUUUGGGAUAACUUCAGGAAACUGGGGCUAAUACCGGAUAGGAGCUCCUGCUGCAUGGUGGGGGUUGGAAAGUUUCGGCGGUUGGGGAUGGACUCGCGGCUUAUCCGCUUGUUGGUGGGGUAGUGGCUUACCAAGGCUUUGACGGGUAGCCGGCCUGAGAGGGUGACCGGCCACAUUGGGACUGAGAUACGGCCCAGACUCCUACGGGAGGCAGCAGUGGGGAAUAUUGCACAAUGGGCGGAAGCCUGAUGCAGCAACGCCGCGUGCGGGAUGACGGCCUUCGGGUUGUAAACCGCUUUCGCCUGUGACGAAGCGUGAGUGACGGUAAUGGGUAAAGAAGCACCGGCUAACUACGUGC
rnacentral:rRNA from 1 species